rnacentral:lncRNA from 1 species
GAGCUUUGAUCAGAAUAACCAUCUUGGCUACAUUUCUUUCUCUCGCCACCUAGCCCCUCUUCUCUUCCAGGUUUCCAAAAUGCCUUUCCAGGCUAGAACCCAGGUUGUGGUCUGCUGGCCGGAUACAACAAUUGGCGAACCAACGCGGGACUGAGAAACGGCAAAGGAUUUUUGGAAGAGACGCUGCUGGUUUGGAGCUCCAUAAAAUAAAGGAUAAAGGAAAUUCAUACCGAAGAAGGCCAUCUUUUUCUUUUUUUAAAUUUUGUUAAUAAAAGGGAGGAAAUGUAGUCUCCCCUCCCCCAGCCUGAAACCUGCUUGCUCAGGGGUGGAGAUUCCUGCUCAUUUGUUCUGCCACGCCCACUGCUGGAACCUGUGGAGCCACACACGGGCACCUUUCUACUGGACCAGAGAUUAUUCGGCGGGAAUCGGGUCCCCUCCCACUUCCUUCAUAACUGAGUGUCGAAACAGUAAAAUUUGAGCUUUGAUCAGAA